CCGUUGCCGGCGACCGGCGCACGGGUGAGUAACACGUAUGCAACCUGCCCGUGGCAGGGGGAUAAGCGGGGGAAACCCGUCUAAUACCGCGUAACGCGGCCUAGGGACAUCCCAAGGCCGCCAAAGGGAGCAAUCCCGGCCACGGAUGGGCAUGCGGCGCAUUAGCUAGUCGGCGGGGUAACGGCCCACCGAGGCGACGAUGCGUAGGGGUUCUGAGAGGAAGGCCCCCCACACUGGUACUGAGACACGGACCAGACUCCUACGGGAGGCAGCAG
rnacentral:rRNA from 1 species